rnacentral:lncRNA from 1 species
CCCUGGAAUUGCUUUCCUAAUACUGACCGUAUUGAACUUCUUGUUAUGGGGUAGUGACAGCACAGGGGCCAUUCCCUUUUCGUUGUUUGUCAUUCUCAUUUUACUUUGGUUCUGUAUCUCCGUCCCCCUAACAAUGAUCGGUGGCUACAUUGGGGCAAAGGCACCUCACAUUGAAUAUCCAGUCCGAACCAACCAGAUUCCACGUGAAAUUCCACCACAGAAAUAUCCAUCUUGGCUUUUGGUUCUCGGUGCAGGCACACUUCCUUUUGGUACUCUUUUCAUCGAGCUCUUCUUCAUCAUGUCCAGUCUCUGGAUGGGUCGUGUCUACUACGUCUUCGGCUUCCUCCUCAUCGUUAUGGUCCUCCUUGUCGUCGUUUGUGCUGAGGUGUCUCUUGUCCUAACCUACAUGCAUCUAUGUGUUGAGGACUGGAAAUGGUGGUGGAAGUCAUUCUUUGCUUCCGGCUCAGUCGCUAUAUACAUUUU